rnacentral:misc_RNA from 1 species
UCCGGUUUGUCACCGGCAGUCUGGCGUGAGUCCCCAACUUAAUGCUGGCAACACGCCACGGGGGUUGCGCUCGUUGCGGGACUUAACCCAACAUCUCACGACACGAGCUGACGACAGCCAUGCAGCAUCUGUGCCUGUUGUACCCCGAAGGGCCUACCCUACUUUCAUAGGGAUAAUCCAGGCAUGUCAAGCCCAGGUAAGGUUCUGCGCGUUGCUUCGAAUUGAACCACAUGCUCCACCGCUUGUGUGAGCCCCCGUCAAUUCCUUUGAGUUUUAGCCUUGCGACCGUACUUCCCAGGCGGUCCACUUAGCACUUUUGCUUCGACCGUAAAACCGUCAGAGGUCCUACGAUCUAGUGGACAUCGUUUAGGGCCAGGACUAC